AGUAGGACUUCAGCACCACCCAGUGACAGCAGAGCUACAGAGGGCCUGCUGGGAGAAGUUAGAGCAGGGAGAGGAUGGGAGAAACCCCUGGUUUCUUCUCGCUCCCCUUUCUUUCCCAUUAACCAAACACAGAAUCCAGCUGAGGGGGGACCAUGAAAAACUUCACGGAAGGCCUGCCUUUCUGCAGCACAGGGCAGGAAAAUCCAGAGGAACAAAUCUGAGAACCAGCAGGCACGGGAUCUCUCUACAUAAGACUGGCUGUGCUGCAAAUUAUUAUGUGGACCAGCCUGGCCUUGAACUUGCAGAGUUGCCUUCUGUCUGCCUCUCCUUCCUGAGUGCUGGGAUGAAAGAAAUGAAGUCAAACAGGAGCCUUACUCUAAGGAGUACAUGAUCUCCGCCUCCACGCAUGAAGACACGGAAGGGCAAGUGGAAUCUAUGUGGCACAGAGAGAAGGUGAGCGGUUAUCCGAGGAUGAGGUAGGUCUGGGGAUCAGUGAGGAUGUGGUGGGAAUUAUGGGACGUUUUAUAGAAACAGAACAAAAAAGGCACAAGUCAAGAUACAUUUUGAAUAUGUUGGUGGGUACAUUGGAUAGGAUGUGUGUAUGGCAACAAAAUGGGGACCCUCUGCCAGAGGCCUGUGUUGCUAUCUGAUGACUUUCUUAGCCUUUGGGUUGGUGGAAGCUGGGGAUCUGAUCUUACUUUCCAAAAGAAUCUACCUACCAGUCGUGGGGGAGUUAGAUCAUAAACAGAGGUAGGCAAUAAAUAGCUCUUAGGGCCUAAUUACAGCCCAAGAUAAACUGUGAUUUGGCUCCUAAUUGUAGUUAGACUUGAAACACUUUACCUCUUCACAGUCAUUGACAUUCAAAUCUGCUAAUCAGCCUUUAAAGAGGGUUCAAUAGUGGGUGCAGUUUUGUUUUGGAAACUUUUGUUGACAAUACAUAAAAGGACAUUCUCAUUUUACAGCUGCCUAAUCUCUUGUCACAAGGACAGACCACAGUUUAUAUAGCCAGUUCCCUACUGAUGGACAAUGUGAUCUUUUUAAAAACAGUUUCUUUAGUCUCAAUAUUUGUUUUUAGAUUUAUUUAUUGAGUUAUUUAUUUAGUUAUCUUAUGUGUAUUAAUGCUUUGCCUGCUCUGUAUGCAUGACUGCUACCCUCAGAGGCCAGAAGAGGCAUCAGGUCACCUGAGACUGCAGCAGUGGAUUGUUACGAGCCAUCAGAGGGGGACUGGGAAUUUAACCUGGGUCCUCUGGAAAAGAGGUACAUACUCUUGGCCAUUGAGCCAUCUCUUUAGCCCCUGAUGGUAGAAAUUUUAAUGGAAAUUUAUUUUUAUGACAUUGAAGGUGAUGCAAUGCUUUCUUGUUUGGUUGCCUAGUAAAUGUUUUCACUGGCCUAUGGUUAAUUUUUGUCCUAACAGUAUCCCAAGCUGGCCUUGAACUCAGUAUCUCAGGCUGGCCUUGAACUCACCGUUCAAGACACUAUAGGGCAUUUUCUUAUUCAGUGAUUGAUGUGGGAGGGUCCAGCCCACCAUGGUGGCUCAUCCCUGGGCUUGUGUCCUGAUUCUAUAAUAAAGCAGCCAUCAGAAGCAGAGGAAGCAGCACUCUUCCUUCGAUGGCCUCUGCACCAGCUCCUGCCUCUCAGUUGCUGCCUGUUUGAGCUCCUGUCCUGAUUUCCCUCAGUGAUGAACUAGGAUGUGGAAGCAUGAGUCACCAAAACCCUUUCCUCCCCAAUUUGCAUUCACUCAAGGUGUUUCUUCACAGCAACCCUCACUCAGUCAGCCAAAAAACAUAUCCUUCACUACUGCUCUUAGCUAGUGUUCACCUGGAGAUCUUGUUCCAAUGAAGAUUCCCACCCAGAAUGUGGCCUGAGAUUCUAGGUUUUGGAGCUGUUCCUCAGUAGCUCAAGGCGGCUGGUGUGCCACCAUGACUUGCUGUUGAUCCGCAUGCUUUUUCCUUUUUCUUCUUCUCAAAGAAGGAAACCUCCACAUGACUCACCGAGCUGCUUUGUGCAAGCAGAUGUCAGUUGUCACUGUCCCUGAUGAGAGCAACUUGUUAGAACACUAAAAAAAGUAAAGUGGGUAAACCAGUUUAUUAACCUACUGAGUUAGUCAUCUCGGGUGAUUUCUUUUUCCUCUGUCCUUGACUCAAAAUCGGUGGAAGUAAUUUGCUUAGGAAGCUCAGAAUGUCUGUCAGAUGGUAAUGUCAGGAGUCUCCCGUGAAAGUGACACAGAGGCUCAGGACCUUAACCACAGUUUUUUCUCUUUUUCUUGAAGAUGUCUCCAGGUCUUGGCAUAAAUGAAGACUCUUCCCACGGCCUGAACAUCUUUCUUCCAUCCUUCAAAGCCAUUGCUACACGGCAGCUCCCGGAUCAACGUGUUCCUCAUGGGAGUGAAUAAACAGCUCUGAGUCAGGAGGAGUGGAAAAAAUUCGCCCAAGAUUUACCCACAAAUUGGCUCUGAGAAAGCACCCCAGAACACUCCCAAAGCAUUUGUGCCAGGUUCCCUGGGCUGCUGGGUUUACUUGAGAAAUCAUAAAAUGACUUUUGUGUGUUUAUUCUUUGACAAUUUUAUACACAAAUGCAAUGCACCCUGGUCACACUGCUGUCUUUUAAAUAUUUAUUUGUUUG
rnacentral:lncRNA from 1 species